GGAGUGGUUAGAGAAAUGUUAGGGAUGUGAGCCAUCCCAUUGAUUGCCAGGGUUGAUUUGGCUGAUUUAUCGGGCUGGGGCGGGUGUCUCCUUCCUCAGCACUCCAUGUGUGUCCCUCCCAAAGACGCACAGGAGGAAAACCUUCCCCAUAGAGGAGGAUUGCUUUUGGGACAAGAGUUUGAGAAUAGCUGCACUUCCCUGUUAGACCCUCCAAAUGAGCUCUCAAAUGGUCGGAUGAGUCUAGCUCCAUAUUGGGUUGUUGCUGAGAUGU
rnacentral:snRNA from 1 species